AGGAGCCGUAUGACGAGAGAUUGUCACGUACGGUUCUGUGAGAGUGUGUGGGUGAAACUCCGUAUGCUCUACUCGAU
rnacentral:ncRNA from 1 species